GAACGGAUCUGACGGUGAGGGACGAAGGCUAGGGGAGCGAUCCGGAUUAGAUACCCGAGUAGUCCUAGCAGUAAAACGCUGUGAGCAAGAUGUUGCGCAUUCUUCGAGGAUGUGCAGUGUCGAAACGAAGGUGUUAAGCUCACCGCCUGGGAAGUACGGUCGCAAGACUGAAACUUUAAGGAAUUGGCGGGGGAGCACCGCAAGGGGUGCGGCGUGCGGUUUAAUCUAACUCAACGCAGAGAACCUUACUAGAAGCGACGGCAGGAAGAAGGUCAGUCUGAAGGGCUUACCUGACGAGCCGAGAGGUAGUGCAUGGCCGCCGUCAGCUCGUGUCGUAAGAUGUCCAGUUAAGUCUGGCAACGAGCGAGACCUAUACCCACUAUUGCUAACGGCUAUAUAUAGGACCGAGCACUUUGUGGGGACUGCCUUGGAAACAAGGAGGAAGGUGUAGGCAACGGUAGGUCUGUAUGCUCCGAAUCUUCUAGGCUACACGCGCGCAACAAUGACAGUGACAAUUGGCUGCAACUCCGAAAGGAGGAGCUAAUCCUGUAAACGCUGUCUCAGUUCGGAUUGUGGGUUGUAACUCACCCACAUGACGCCGGAAUCCCUAGUAAUNNNNNUGUUCAUACAUCGUCUGGGAAUUGCUCUCUGGGGGCCGG
rnacentral:rRNA from 1 species